rnacentral:rRNA from 1 species
UACGUAGGGCGCAAGCGUUGUCCGGAAUUAUUGGGCGUAAAGAGCUCGUAGGCGGUUUGUCGCGUCUGCUGUGAAAUCCCGAGGCUCAACCUCGGGCUUGCAGUGGGUACGGGCAGACUAGAGUGCGGUAGGGGAGACUGGAAUUCCUGGUGUAGCGGUGGAAUGCGCAGAUAUCAGGAGGAACACCGAUGGCGAAGGCAGUGUUCUGGGCCAGUACUGA